rnacentral:lncRNA from 1 species
CAUGAUACCAAUUUUUCCUCAUUCUUGUUAACAGAUUCUACUGUAUUACUCACUUUGCAUCAAGAUAGGAAGAAUGGUUCUCCCUACGUGUUGCAUGUGAUCUAGUCGAGGAGUACUGUGGACAGGAUGACUUCCUCUAGAUGCAAGAGCAGACGCAGUUGAGGAUUCCAUGUUCAUCUGGCUGAGUGGAGUCAACCAGCAUGUUAGAGGAAUGCCCUGGCAGAGGUGGGGGAGUGAACAGGCAGAUCCACCCAGGAUUUCAGAGCUCUGGGCGUUAGGCUACCUUAUCUCAGCUGGGCUGACUUCUCGCCAACAUCCUCAGGUAACUCAUUCCAGCUUUACUUGAUCUCCAUCUCAAGACAGUUGUUUUCUUUUACUUAGUUACAUUUU